rnacentral:rRNA from 1 species
AAGAAACUAACAAGGAUUCCCCUAGUAACGGCGAGUGAAGCGGGAAGAGCUCAAAUUUGAAAUCUGGUGGCCUCAGGUCAUCCGAGUUGUAAUCUAUAGAAGUGUUUUCCGUGCUGGCUCAUGUACAAGUCCCUUGGAACAGGGCGUCAUAGAGGGUGAGAAUCCCGUCCUUGACAUGAACUACCAGUGCUCUGUGAUACAUUUUCAACGAGUCGAGUUGUUUGGGAAUGCAGCUCAAAAUGGGUGGUAAAUUCCAUCUAAAGCUAAAUAUUGGCGAGAGACCGAUAGCGAACAAGUACCGUGAGGGAAAGAUGAAAAGCACUUUGGAAAGAGAGUUAAACAGUAUGUGAAAUUGUUAAAAGGGAAACGAUUGAAGUCAGUCGUGCUCUUUGGAUUCAGCCGGUUCUGCCGGUGUACUUCCUUUGAGUGGGGUCAACAUCAGUUUUGAUCGCUGGAUAAAGGCUGGAGGAACGUAGCACCCUCGGGUGAACUUAUAGCCUCCUGUCACAUACAGUGGUUGGGACUGAGGAACGCAGCACGCCUUUAUGGCCGGGAUUCGUCCACGUACGUGC